UAGGGAAUAUUGGACAAUGGAGGCAACUCUGAUCCAGCCAUCCCGCGUGAAGGAUUAAGGCCCUAUGGGUUGUAAACUUCUUUUCUCUGGGAAUAAAAACCGGGAUUUAUCCUGGCUUGAAGGUACCAGAGGAAUAAGCACCGGCUAACUCCGUGCC
rnacentral:rRNA from 1 species